rnacentral:rRNA from 1 species
UACGUAGGGUGCAGGCGCUAAUCGGAAUUACUGGGCGUAAAGCGUGCGCAGGCGGUCUGCUAAGAGAGGUGUGAAAUCCCCGGGCUUAACCUGGGAACUGCGCUUCUAACUGGCAGGCUUGAGUGUGGCAGAGGGGGGUGGAAUUCCACGUGUAGCAGUGAAAUGCGUAGAGAUGUGGAGGAACACCGAUGGCGAAGGCAGCCCCCUGGGCUAACACUGACGCUCAUGCACGAAAGCGUGGGGAGCAAACAGG